rnacentral:rRNA from 1 species
GUGCCAGCCGCCGCGGUAACACGUAGGAGGCGAGCGUUAUCCGGAUUUACUGGGUGUAAAGCGCGUGCAGGCGGCUGGAAAAGUUGGAUGUGAAAGCGCCCGGCUCAACUGGGCGAGGUCGUUCAAAACUAUCCGGCUGGAGCAUGGUAGGGGAAGGUGGAAUUCCGGGUGUAGUGGUGAAAUGCGUAGAGAUCCGGAGGAACACCAGUGGCGAAGGCGGCCUUCUGGACCAUUGCUGACGCUCAGACGCGAAAGCUAGGGGAGCAAACGGGAUUAGAAACCCGAGUAGUCC